CACAUGAAACGUAUGCCCUGUUGCAGCCUCGCAGGUACCCACAGCCGUCUCUCUCUCUUUUGAAUCGAUCCCCACAAAUUCCCAGCUUUAUUUCUGUGGAUUCUGUUUUAUCUAUGCUUGCUAUGUGUUUGACAAAAAUCCAAGGAGGCUGAGGCGAAGAUUUUGUGCUUAGGUUUUUACUCAAGUAUUUCAUCUUUUUCUGAAAUUUAGCUCCAAUGAACUGAAUUUUUUUGGGCAUCCCUUUUUCCCCUGUAGGUCAUUAUCAUCUCAUCUCACCACACUCAUGCCACAUAACCUGGCAAGCUCAUUCCUUACUCAUCUAUGUACCAGUUUUGUAGCUUUAUUCACUGAACUGAGAGAUGAUGUUUGCGCAGUUAGAUGUUGCUUGCUCGAUUUUGACUAUGCUAGCUGCAAUAAUCAAUCUAUUUGAUAUGGGCCCUAUAAGCUCUUUCGUUGAUCUUUGGUUACAAAUCCUGGAGCUGUUCUUGAUGUAUUGAGAGACAUUUGUUAGAACCCAUUAUCACCUUUUUUGGCUGUGGUUCAUCUUUGCCAUACGAUGUGUUAGUAAACUGACUGAGAAUGUUAGAUAAUCUUAUAUGGAUUUCGAUCUUGCAGCUGCAGCCGCGCGCUGUAUGUGGCGGGGGGUUACUUCUGUGCAGUAAUACCAUUUUGGAGUGUCCCGUGUUUGCAACUAUCCUUAUGUGUAGCCCCUGCAACAAGGCAUCAGAGAAAAUUAAAGGGACAAACAAAUUUUGCGUCCGAUGUGUUGUUCAGACGUUCAGGAGAAGUGGAUAAGAGGGUUACUCGAGGCUCCGUCCAUGAAUGGUGUGGGUCCAAUGCCUUAGGGUGGCAUGCCGCAAUGUUGGGGACCAGCGAGGAAGAUGGCUGGUGUACAUUCUUUGAAAUAAAGCUGAAGUAAGCCACUACUGAGCCUAGUUCGCAGACUAUCUUGGUGUUUCAGCAACAAUAGCUGAACAUGUUUGUUUUCUUUCUUUCAACUUCUUUCCAACAGUCAGUGGCACACAGAGAUGAUUUAUAUGUCAUCCUACA